rnacentral:rRNA from 1 species
UACGGGGGGGGCAAGCGUUGUUCGGAAUUACUGGGCGUAAAGGGCUCGUAGGCGGCCAACUAAGUCAGACGUGAAAUCCCUCGGCUUAACCGGGGAACUGCAUCUGAUACUGGAUGGCUUGAGUUCGGGAGAGGGAUGCGGAAUUCCAGGUGUAGCGGUGAAAUGCGUAGAUAUCGGGAAGAACACCAGUGGCGAAGGCGCUCUACUGGGCCACAACUGACGCUGAGGGACGAAAGCUAGGGGAGCGAAAGGG